UACGUAGGGGGCAAGCGUUGUCCGGAUUUAUUGGGCGUAAAGAGCGUGUAGGCGGUCAGGUAGGUCCGUUGUGAAAACUCGAGGCUCAACCUCGAGACGCCGAUGGAAACCAUCUGACUAGAGUCCGGAAGAGGAGAGUGGAAUUCCUGGUGUAGCGGUGAAAUGCGCAGAUAUCGGGAAGAACACCCGUGGCGAAGGCGGCUCUCUGGGACGGUACUGGCGCUGAGACGCGAAAGCGUGGGGAGCGAACAGG
rnacentral:rRNA from 1 species